rnacentral:rRNA from 1 species
CCUCGGGUGGCUGCAGUGGGGAAUAUUGGACAAUGGGGGCAACCCUGAUCCAGCCAUGCCGCGUGUGUGAAGAAGGCCCUCGGGUUGUAAAGCACUUUCAGUGAGGAAGAACGCCUGGUGGUUAAUACCCAUCAGGAAAGACAUCACUCACAGAAGAAGCACCGGCUAACUCCGUGCCAGCAGCCGCGGUAAUACGGAGGGUGCGAGCGUUAAUCGGAAUUACUGGGCGUAAAGCGCGCGUAGGUGGCUUGAUAAGCCGGUUGUGAAAGCCCCGGGCUCAACCUGGGAACGGCAUCCGGAACUGUCAAGCUAGAGUGCAGGAGAGGAAGGUAGAAUUCCCGGUGUAGCGGUGAAAUGCGUAGAGAUUGGGAGGAAUACCAGUGGCGAAGGCGGCCUUCUGGACUGACACUGACACUGAGGUGCGAAAGCGUGGGUAGCAAACAGGAUUAGAUACCCUGGUAGUC